GACGAACCGUGCGAACGUUAUUCGGAAUCACUGGGCUUAAAGCGUGCGUAGGCGGCUCAGAAAGUUGGGUGUGAAAUACCUGGGCUCAACCGAGGAAUUGCGCUCAAAACUACUGGGCUUGAGGGAGUUAGAGGUGAGCGGAACUAAUGGUGGAGCGGUGAAAUGCGUUGAUAUCAUUAGGAACACCGGUGGCGAAAGCGGCUCACUGGGGCUCUUCUGACGCUGAGGCACGAAAGCUAGGGUAGCGAACGGG
rnacentral:ncRNA from 2 species